CCCCCCCCCCGCCACCAAGACUCCCAAGAGAAGAGGACCAACAGGACGCCGCUGGAUCCGCAGCAGGGGAAAGAACACCAAAUAGCAUGAUGCUGAGAAACUCAUGUUAUGAAGUAGACCAAGCAAGGGAGAAGCUGGGCCAGGAGAAGCUUUGCACCCACAUUCAUAUACACGUGCACACACAUGCCUGUGUGCACACACCCUGUCGCAGUGAGCCGAGAACUGCUACAAUCACCACGCCAGUGCGUCAUUCGUCCCAGUCUUGGGAGAGGCCACACUUGCCCCCACCAGUCUCAGCACCAGGCUCUGGGCACGGUGUGAAAGCUUGCUUAGAUUUUCUUUUAAAAGUUGUGAAUCAUGAUAUUGCUAAAAAGAGGAAAACAUUGAGAAGAACUUUGAUUCAUAGAGUUUUAGUAGAUUGGUUUUUAUUUCAAUAUUAGUUACAUUUCAUGUAAUUAACAGUUAGUUACAUUAAGAUAAGUAGAGCUUAUGCCUAGAUGAGCCUUUUGUAAAUCAAGAAAAAUAAAAAUUAUUUCUAACAUUUAUUUAAAAGUAAAAUAAAUACCAUGAACCUUAAUAGUAACACACACAGAAAGGAAGAAAAGUGCAGCUGGUAUGCACUAUUGUAUCUUGCAUGCUAACAGUGUUACACGCAAAAUCUUGUUAAUGAUAAAAAGUGGAACACACAUCAUCUAUGAAGCCAAGAAUUUAUUGUUAGUGUAAUCAAAGUGUAACUGAAAUACAAUUCAGGGUAGUCAUAGUAGUCCAGUUACUGUGAUACUAAGUCUAUAUACAAACUAAAUCUUAUUAACAAUACUAUCGUUAAAAAAUUGUUAGACAGCAAAACCUUUUAGUAUCCACUCCUUUUAAUCUGUCAUUAUGCACACCUUGCCCAUGCUCUUUUGGGCCCUAAGGCAAGGGGUUCAGUCUAAAGGCAGGUUACAAUGUGCUGGCAGGAUCCUGAACUGGAGGAGGUGAGAUGUUAGCACUAACAUAGUGAUGUUUUCUUCCUCUUCUUUGCCAGGAGAUGCAUGAUGUUGAUGGCUUCUUUCUCCUCCUCCUUCUUCUGGGGUCUGCUUGAAGCCAAUUUUAUGUGUUUUGUAGCACACACCAUUCGUUCUUCAUCAGUCUACAGCUCCACAUUAGAUCUGACUUCAUUAUAAAUGGUGUGCUACACACAGGUUAGAUGCUUAGUCAUUUUUAAUAUCCCUAAAGCUGGCUUUACCCAGCUCUGAGUUUUCUUUGCUUAUGGUAACUGGCCACUGGUGAGCUGCUGAUUGCCCUGGUAUUGCCCCAUACCCAUGUAUUUAAGGCUUUUGCUACCAACCAGUCUCGUAUGCCUGUAAACUGCACCACACUUAUGCUGCAGAAAUAUUUCACUUUCGCACAGCAUAGCAGCAUGUUAUUGCUAUCUCUAAAAGAAUUAUUAACAAUGGGCAUCACACGAGAGAGGGCUAAGCAAAACUAAAAUUAGGUAACAAUCACCUACUUAUCAGAUAAUUGCUGUUGACAACAGCAGAAUUGUUGUAGACAACAGCUAAGGAAGCUAAAACCAAACCUCCAAGCAAACCAAGGCAAGAGAAGGCAAAGCCUGACAAGUCCUGAGACCUGUGCUUAAUCGUACCUUAAUACAGAGCCUGACUGUGGCCUGUCAAGAGCAAUAGCAGCAUUGUAUUUAUGAAACUACAGAGCCACAGCACAUGCACAUCCAACUGUUCUUACUAAAAUUUGCAUUUUCCUGAACUUGAAUUAAGUAAAAAAAUACAUAAUAAUUCACAUACCUACUCUGACAGAGCGUUGGAACACAAGGAACUUCAGAGCAUUUAUUCAUACAUGUCACAUUUAACACUGAAGUUAGGGCCAGAUUUGUUUGCAAGGGUCACAAGUUUCAGCAAGGAAAAUUCUGACUGGAUGUAAGGAAGAAAAUUCUUCUCAAGUAUGGUUAAGAGAAACAGAUUUCCUGGAAAGGCUGUGGAAACUCUUGCCCUGGAGGUACUCAGAACUCAGGUGGAUUAGGUCCUGAGCAGCCUGAUCUAACUUUGAAGUUAGCCUUAUUUUGAGAAGGGGUUUGGCCUUGAUGACACCAGGGGACCCUUUCAGCCUCAAUUUCUACUGUUUUGUGAUAAUACAACUAUCAGCAGGAGCUAAGCUGCAAGUAAAUACAAUUAUCCUCUUCUGAAAGCAUGAUCACCCAGUCUGCACAUGCACCCAGUUGAUAUGCUUGCAAAAGGGCCUUUUCCAUACAAAUUUGUCCCUAAAUUCACUGUUAAACAUUAAUUAGAAAUGUAGUAACACUGUGAAAUUCUUUGUGUUCUGAGAUUGUAUAUAAUGUAUUGGUUCAAACAGAAGUGCAAAGUUCAGACAAGAUGUGAAUUACAUGAGGGAAACUGUAAAAAGUUUGUAUCCUUCAGCUCUAGGCAAGGGUUAUCCCAGCGUCCUGGACUAAGUUGAAUAAGCAUUUGUCACACAAAUGUUUGCAACAUUAUUUCUCUAUCAACUUUCAGUGAAAUGCUAUGAGAAGUCCACUUUUCCAAAGGUGACUGGUUUUGAAAAAAAAAAAACCUAUAACAACAUAUUCGAUAGAUAUUCAUGAAGCUAUCAUGCCACAUAUGAAUGAGGAACUUAGCACAAAAGACAUUUUAAAAUAAAUCUAAAAGACUUUUGUUAUCGAUGGUUUGCUUAUCUACUUACUUCUGCUAGCUACUGAGCAUAUGCACAAAGUGGUAUAUACUGCUAAGGGUCCACUAGAGUAUCAUUUAUUACAGUUUCUAAUACAAAAAUACAUGUAGACUAACAGAUAAUACUUUAACUAAUAAAACAUGCUAGCAUUGUUGCUAGCAUAUUAACAAACAAUUUUCUGAGAGAAAGGAAGACAGAAAGGAUUCCUAUUUUAAAGUGAACAGAAAUAAAUAGUCAGAAAACAGAGCAACGAAACCUUGGGAGUUCAUCUAGCCCUUCUUCCUGAUAUAUCACUUGUAGGAUCAAAUAUACCAAUAUCAGGUUCACCUCUUUCAAAAAAUCUUCAGCAAAGGAGAUUUUGCAGCCCACAUCUUACCAUUAGAAAGUUGUACUUAACAUCCACAUGAAAUCUUCCAUACUUCUGUAUGUCAUUUUCUGUUAUAUACAUAGAGGAUAAGGAAAAGAGAUCAUUUUUUAUGCCUUUGUCUUUGCCUUCUGCAUAUUUGAAAAAUAAAAAAUAAAAAAAAAUAAAAAGGACAAAAAUAAAAAAAAUAAAAAGGACAAAAAUAAAAAAAAAGAACAGUGGGGCAAUAACUGCAUCAGCUGUCUUUUCUCUUCAGCUUUGUUUUAGAAACUGCUUAUGACUUUUGAUUUGCUCCCCCGGACUCCAUCCAGUUGAGUCACAUGUUGCUAGAAGCAGGCACCCAAAGCAGCACACAGAUCUCCAAUCAUGUUCUUACCAGUGCUGAAUAAAAAAGAUUUAUGCAUAACUGGAAACAUUAUUAUCUGAAAAUGAAAAAUGUCGCCUUUCAUACUCUUUCAGUUUUAUUUGUUUGAGCUUACUGGUAUUCCCAUCAAAUAGCCCAUUAACCAUUUUUGAGAGCAUUCAGACCACAUAAUUGAAAGUAUCAUCCCCACUUUUGUUAAUAUUGCAAAUAAUGGAACAACUAUAUAUUUCUAUUCACUUUAAGAUAGGAACCCUUUCUAUCUUCCUUUGUCUCAGAAAAUGGGCUUCAUGUUUUCCAGUUCUCUACCUAUCUUGGGUCUUUGCAAUGAAUGAGUGUUUUUAAGAAUGUUUUUUUCAAGCAUGGGCUAUGGUUUCCUUGUUUUGCCCAAUUACUGGAAGAUUGGGGCACUUGAUUUUGUAUGGCUCCCUUCAAAACAAUAGCAGUUUAAAUUUACAGGAGAGGUGACUUGCUGACUACACUGGGAGAUAAAUACAAAUGUAUAAAACCAAACCAUCAAGACUACAUUAAUUAAUUGAUAUGAUCUUGGUUAAAGCCAAAGCAGUAAUAUUUAUUAGUACCUUACAGAAAUGAAUGCAUCUACUUGUGAAAGAAUCUGUUAGUCAUGAGGAUUCUAGCCAUCAGAAGGCAACAGCUUCUUGCAUUUCUCUAGUUUUAUUAAAGGUAUCUUGACAAAUAUACAUCUCAGAAUCCUUAGACUUAAAAGCUCAUUAAUCAAGGUAAUCUUAUCAAUUGGAAAAGAAAAUGAUUUUUGCAAAAUUCACUAAUGUACAAUGACUGUGACUUUAAAAAGCUCUGAUUAUUUCAACAAGAAAAAAAUAGUAAAAGUUGUAGGAAAUAUAGAUCUUAUGUACAAAAUCCUACUUGCCAUAUUUUAUCCCUAUUUCAGAAAUUUUAAUAUCUAUGAAAAUAUUGUGUUAAUGUUCUAUUUUAUUCUUUCUUGUAGAUCAGUAUUCUGCUAGAUUCUUAAAAUUUGAGUAAUUUAUUAUGGGAAUUGCCUUAUUAAAUGAAAUAAGUCUUCCAUAGAUAACUGCUUGUUAAAGUAGGGCACAAACACAGAUAAAAAUGAAUUCAAGAUUUUGCCUGUCUCCUCUAAUAGUGUGUAUGUCAAGUAUGUAAAGUAAAAGGAUCAGGUAUUUGGGGAUCAAAGGUAUCAAAAUUUGCAUUUCUCAAAAACCCAAGAACUCUGAUAAAUAAAAGCUUACAAAAGCCACACUCAACCAGUAUAAUUGCUUAAUAUAUAGCCAUAGGAAGUAAGCACUGUCAAUCAAAUCUAAUCUCCUCUAUGCACUUCUAAGUUUUUCAAGCUCACUUACUACCUUAGCAAAUUAAAUCACCUAUCGUGUGAUCUGGCCCUCUAAUGGAAAGAAAAAAUAAUGGAAGUUUUGAUGAAAUAAGUAGUGUAAGUGAAGAUGGAAAAAGAUCAGAGACAAAUGAUAUUAAAAUCAUACAACUGUCCUUAUUUUUUAGGGGAAAAAUGGUUUAUUCUUUAUAUUGGGCUAAUUAAGGUUUGAUACAAUGCAAAAAAAUACAUCCUUCACUCCCUGACAUUGGUAAAUUGGUAACCAAUGUUUUUAAAAAUCCAUGUGGUAUAAUGUUCAUAGGCUAUCAGUAUUAGAGAUGCAAAACAGUUCCAACAAGAAAUCUACGGAGGAAAAAGGAUACAGAAAUUCUCUGAACAGUGGCAGUUUACAAAUUCCUGACACUGUGCAAAAAGAUGUAAGCAGCCUGUACAUUCACUUAGGGUGUAAUUCCCUCUGUGAAGAGCCAUCAGAAACCUAUAAAGCAUUUAACUCCCACUUACAGUCUAUUUGAAGUGUUUAAAUGGGACUUCAAGACUGUCUAUGCAUCAUUUUGAUGAUCUUUGCUGGAACAUAGGGUCUGAUCAACAGGCUGACUCAUAUGGAUGUAUUUCUGUAUCCAACAAAGUGAUUUAAUGGGACUCAGCAUAGACCCAGAGACAUCCAUUACAGAUGCAUCAGGCAGAGAAUCAGGGACAUACUCUUCUCCUGAAAGAGUAAAAUUCUCAGAGAGUUCAUCAAUACUUAAGCUCUCGUCAGACUAUUAAUGGAGACUAUGUUGUUUUCCUUACUCAUUAAAAAGAAAACAAUGAUAAUCUAAUCACUUACCGAUAUUUCAGUAGGCAUAUUAUCUACGUUUAUGCAAUUCUGCAAACAUUUAUUAUAUUCAAGUGUCUUUUUUAAUAUGAAGAAAAAGUUCACUAGUUGUGUUAGGUACCAUAUCUCAUCGUCUGGAGCAAACUAACAGCACAAAUUCAUACCUGAACAUCACAGAAUAAUCAGACAGUUACUCUCUUGAGAAUAUCUGGGAAGCCAAACCACUGGAUAGCUCCCUUUUUAAUUUUUUUUUAUUAAGAUAUAGUUUUAUGUAUUUCUCGCUAUAUAAGGUACAGUUUCAUCUCCUUUUUUUCUUUUUUCCUGUGUUUUUUCCAUGGGACUACUCUUCAGUUGUGUCUGGACUUCCUGUGAGGAAUCACCUUCACCCAGAUAAAGCUCAGGGACAAUUGGUGCUCAAUAUAAAAAGAAUCACUAAUACUACUCACAGAGACACAUGUUUUCCUAAAGGUCAUUAAAAUGGAAGAAAAGGGUUGGGGUUAUUUUCUAUUCCUGGCAAUAGCCUGGGGAUAAUGCAGCCUGCUCAUUUUCAUGCACAGUGGAGUGUUUAGGAAAUGAUUCAGCCUUCAUGAAAAAAAAAGUCCCAUAAGGUAAUGUAAGCUUGUACACAUGACAUGCUCUUUGACCUUAGAGGGCCAAAUAUCUGUUUACUGCACAUAUGCUAUUUAACAGACUUUAGGUUGUGACAGGGAGAGAAAGAAGUUAUUCCUCUUUUCAUCACAGACUUAUUGCAGGGUGAAAUUCUCAAGCCAAAAUUUUCCAACUUGGGUAUCUACAGUUAAAUUCCUAAAUCAGUGUACAAGAACCUCAACUAAAGGCCUGAUGCUCAGAAAUGGGAAGCACCCAGAGUAAUGACCUUUGGUUUAAAUGUUACCCAGAGAACAAAGGGAGCUACUUGCCUUCCUUUGUAAAGCAUGCAUAUAAAGCCUUAUCUAUACUCAGAAAAUGGCUAUGUGUAAUUGUAAAAUAUUGUAUUUUUCCUCCUGAUGAUGUUUAUAUAACAACUGAAACUAACAUUGCUUCCUUUUUCAAGCAAAAAUAUAUGCAAAUGUAACAUACAUUUUUGCCCUAUUUGUGCAUAAGAUAGAACUCUUAAGAAUCAAUAUGCAAUAAAUUAAAGGAACAGUAUUUAAUAUUUUUACAUCUGUUUAAGGUACAGAUGUCCUGUAAAGGGAGAAGAGGAGAAAUUCAGCAUUGUGCCUUGUGAUUAUCAGUAUUAUUUCUGAGUAGCUUGAUGACAUCAUUUCCCAAAUGGUCCUUCCUCCUCAGAACUUCGUUUUGUGCUAAGUUAGUGUCCCACUGCCCAAGGUAAAACCUUAAAGUACAUCACAUUUCUUGGAUUUGGGGAUUUUUUUUUUUUCUUGGUUUUAGUGAAUUCUUUUGGUAGAAGAAAAUAAUUAGGUGAUUUUAUUAAAAUAAUUAUAAAGCAUCAAGAAAUUUUCCAGUCUUCAUUCUGUCAGAAAAACAAAAAUAAAAAAAUAAAAAAAAACACAUACCUAUUCACUUCCCCCUAAGUUUGUCAACAUCUGGAUCAGCAAAAUACCUCUGCAGAUAGUGACUACUGCAAUGUGUACGAGGUCUGUUGGAUUCUCUAAACAUAGGCAUCUAAUGCCAUUAAGAUCCUGUAAGAUGUCACAGUUGACUUUCAGAAUUGCUCCACAAGGGCAGGCAUCUCCUCUACAUCUGGUGACACAACUGCUAAACCCACUGGAAUGUCUUAUAUAUCCUCAGGUAUCACAAAUGGCAUUAGCUGCAUCUGCUUAGGCAAUUGACUUGAAUCCUGGGCUCAUGUAUGCGCACAAAUGUAGUGGUCUAUAAUCCUGACCUGAACUUCUAAACUGUACACACCUAAAUUUAGAUGUUUGAAUUGACAGCUGAAUCCCAGGUGAAUUAACUAACAUACCUAAGUUCUGAAAGAGCUUACCAAAGAAAGUUGGAUCAGUCAUAUGUAACACCAGGUUAAACAAAGGUAGGUCAGAAUUAAUCUAAGUGUAGCUCAAAGUUGUGAGGAAGAAGUGGGAAAAUGACAUUUGAGGAAUAUUUAAUGUGCUUCAUAACACUAAAGUUACCUGGUUCUAAAGGAGCCUAAAAAUUAAGUUUUGUUCUUCAGCGGGACUAAAUCAAGUCUUAACUCUGUUUCAGUCCAUUAGAUUCUGCAGUUCACUUGACAUCUGAAGUAUGCUUGACAUCUGAGUGAGGCACUCUAAGCUCCUUUCUUAAUCACAGGAGAGAAAUAGAUAUCUGUUCAAAUGUAAAUAUCUAAAAUAGGUCAACCAAAUCAGACCCUAUAAGUGUUCAGAUAUAGAUAGCUGCACUAUAGACAACUCUUUUGUGACAUCAUUCAGUUUGUGUGUUUGUCAACUUACGUUUUUUCAUGAGAUUAAUCCUUCACUAAGAGUCUGAGUUAACCUUUUUAUUUAGCUGCUUCAAAGGAAAUGGAAAACAAAUUAAGUUAUUCCCUUUCUUGAGAGUUUUAAGUCAAAACUAGCAAUAGGUAAAAAGCUUUUUCAUAAAACUGAAGUGAAAUGUUUUGAUAUAUGAACAAAAUUAUGCUCCUGAAUUUCAGAAUUUAAGCUUUUGGAUGGUGUUAACAAUUUUUCAGACAAUCAGAUUUUUUUUUUUCUUGAAAGUUGGUAACUACAAUCCGGCAAUUUAUGCAAAUGUAUUUAAUUUGUUUUGAUGGGAUUCUGAAGAUCUAUACUCAAAUGUUGUUCUCACUGAAGCUCAUAUAAGUGGAGAUAUGUUAUAUUUUUUACUUAAUAAUAGUAAUUUUCUCGUUUAAGAUUUUGAGUGUUUGGGUUUAGUAGUUAUUCCUGAAUUUAUAUUUUGUUGUCAGAUACACAUGUCAAACUAAGUAAAUGUGGACAUUUCCAUUAGUAAAUUU